CUUCAUGUUUUUCAUGUAUCUUCCUCAAUAAUAUGACAGCCCUUGACACUGUGUUGCAUUUAGUUCCUAUAUUCGCUGUAAAUCCUGCUCCCUUGUAUUGUUUUGUAGCUUUGUUGUUCAUUUAUGUUCUGUUUAGCUAUUGUUUUUAAAUGGCAAAUGGCCUGCAUUUGUAUAGGGCUUCAUCAAGUGGAAGGACUCCAAAGAACUUUGUGCUACAUUCAGUCAUACACACAUUCAGGCACUGAUGGUGGAGAGCUACACUGCUGUCCCAGGGCAGAUUGAAAGAAGCAAAGCUGCCAUAUCCACUAAGCCCUCUAACCACCACCUGCAGGCAAGGACUGGCUGGAUUGGUCCUUAUUGAGUCACCCAACCUCAACUCCACUUGUGUCUUCAGCACUUUUGAGCAGAGCUAAACAACAGCUGCCUGAAAACCUGAUGUAUGCAGAAAUUGAUGGCUCCUUCUUCUGUAGGAAUGGGAAACCUUGCAGUUUAUUACAACUUUCCUACAGAGGGAAAAGUGAGGAUGAACACCCGAGGUAUUGAGUUUCCUGUAUCCAUCAUUUUGGACGAGUUGGGAGCUUGGAAUAGCGCCAGCAGCGUCUGCGUUAGCCAGCCGUAACUGACAUUGAGUGCAUUGUUUGCAGUGGGAAGCUCACGGCUGUGGCCUAAAGAGAGCUGUUUCCUCUGCGAGCUCGGCCAGAAGAUAAGAGAAAUGACUAAGGGCAGGAGACAAGCUAAUGGGGGAAGAGCUUUCCCAUGGCCAACCAAACCACUAACAGCUGGCCAUCUGCGAAAACACUACAAAAGAGCAGUGAGCGACUGGAGCAAGCGUGGACAUUUUGAAAAUCCAGCUUCACUCUCUGAUGUGCACAGAGGAAUUUUAAGCCUUAGAUCCGUGACAAAUGCAAUUAUCCAUCUCCUCAUAUCCGUGUUUCCAGUUGAAAGUUCAGAUCAGAUUUUGGACUUUUGUUUUCAUUUAUUAACCUCUCUUUGAAUCUCCGUGUUCACCUAGCUCACCUCUGUCAGGCUCAUGAUGCUAUGUCUCUUCUUGUUUUCAUGAUGUUUUUUUUUCCUGAUUUCCCUCUGAUUAUUUUGCCCUUGUGACCAAGUGUUAAAUUAAAUGCCUAAUUUAACAUGGA